UAGUAGGUAAUAGUACCAGCCCCUAGUCAUUAGGUCAGUUAGUAGGUAAUAGUACCAACCCCUAGUCAUGAAGUCAUUAGGUCAGUUAGUAGGUAAUAGUACCAGCUCCUAGUCAUUAGGUCAGUUAGUAGGUAAUAGAACCAGCCCUUAGUCAUUAGGUCAGUUAGUAGGUAAUAGUACCAACCCCUAGUCAUGAAGUCAUUAGGUCAGUUAGUAGGUAAUAGAACCAGCCCCUAGUCAUUAGGUCAGUUAGUAGGUAAUAGUACCAACCCCUAGUCAUGAAGUCAUUAGGUCAGUUAGUAGGUAAUAGUACCAGCUCCUAGUCAUUAGGUCAGUUAGUAGGUAAUAGAACCAGCCCUUAGUCAUUAGGUCAGUUAGUAGGUAAUAGUACCAACCCCUAGUCAUGAAGUCAUUAGGUCAGUUAGUAGGUAAUAGAACCAGCCCCUAGUCAUUAGGUCAGUUAGUAGGUAAUAGUACCAACCCCUAGUCAUGAAGUCAUUAGGUCAGUUAGUAGGUAAUAGAACCAGCCCUUAGUCAUUAGGUCAGUUAGUAGGUAAUAGUACCAACCCCUAGUCAUGAAGUCAUUAGGUCAGUUAGUAGGUAAUAGAACCAGCCCCUAGUCAUUAGGUCAGUUAGUAGGUAAUAGUACCAACCCCUAGUCAUGAAGUCAUUAGGUCAGUUAGUAGGUAAUAGUACCAGCUCCUAGUCAUUAGGUCAGUUAGUAGGUAAUAGAACCAGCCCUUAGUCAUUAGGUCAGUUAGUAGGUAAUAGUACCAACCCCUAGUCAUGAAGUCAUUAGGUCAGUUAGUAGGUAAUAGAACCAGCCCCUAGUCAUUAGGUCAGUUAGUAGGUAAUA